GAUGAACGCUGGCGGCGUGCCUAAUACAUGCAAGUCGAGCGAACGGACGAGAAGCUUGCUUCUCUGAUGUUAGCGGCGGACGGGUGAGUAACACGUGGAUAACCUACCUAUAAGACUGGGAUAACUUCGGGAAACCGGAGCUAAUACCGGAUAAUAUUUUGAACCGCAUGGUUCAAAAGUGAAAGACGGUCUUGCUGUCACUUAUAGAUGGAUCCGCGCUGCAUUAGCUAGUUGGUAAGGUAACGGCUUACCAAGGCAACGAUGCAUAGCCGACCUGAGAGGGUGAUCGGCCACACUGGAACUGAGACACGGUCCAGACUCCGACGGGAGGCAGCAGUAGGGAAUCUUCCGCAAUGGGCGAAAGCCUGACGGAGCAACGCCGCGUGAGUGAUGAAGGUCUUCGGAUCGUAAAACGCUGUUAUUAGGGAAGAACAUAUGUGUAAGUAACUGUGCACAUCUUGACGGUACCGAAUCAGAAAGCCACGGCUAACUACGU
rnacentral:rRNA from 1 species